AUUGAACGCUGGCGGCAGGCCUAACACAUGCAAGUCGAGCGGGGUUUUCGGACCUAGCGGCGGACGGGUGAGUAAUGCGUAGGAAGCUACCCGAUAGAGGGGGAUACCAGUUGGAAACGACUGUUAAUACCGCAUAAUGUCUACGGACCAAAGUGUGGGACCUUCGGGCCACAUGCUAUCGGAUGCGCCUACGUGGGAUUAGCUAGUUGGUGAGGUAAUGGCUCACCAAGGCGACGAUCCCUAGCUGGUUUGAGAGGAUGAUCAGCCACACUGGAACUGAGACACGGUCCAGACUCCUACGGGAGGCAGCAGUGGGGAAUAUUGGACAAUGGGCGCAAGCCUGAUCCAGCCAUGCCGCGUGUGUGAAGAAGGCCUUCGGGUUGUAAAGCACUUUCAGUAGGGAGGAGGCGUUGUGUGUUAAUAGUACACAGCGUUGACGUUACCUACAGAAGAAGCACCGGCUAACUCUGUGCCAGCCGCCCGCCGUAAUAC
rnacentral:rRNA from 1 species